CAGUCUUUGCCUGCAUGGCGCGUGCAAGUAACAGCGACCCAUAAGGGCUGGCGCUCGCGUUUUGGCGCAGUCAGAAGGGAGGCAGUAGACCUAGUCAGGUCAUGGCUUCCAUCCAGUGGUGCCUAGUGUUUCUGGCAGUGUUGGUGGGAACUGUGCACACCACAAGUUCCUUCGAUGCUACCGAUGAUGGAUCCACCAAGACGACUGUACAGCGUAUAAAUACAGUUUCGCAUACUGAUGGCGGUGAAGAUACGGUCAAUGCCGUAAAAACAGCCGUGGAGACUUCAGGCAGCGGUGGCGGCACGACGAACAUGAUAGGCACUGCUACCAAAACCUUACCCGUCGACAUUGACCCGUUUUCCAUCCGCCCAAACCUUCCAUCGGGCGGAAACACGAAUGGCGGCUUUAUAUCGCCUGUUGGUCAACCUCAACGACCUGGCGUUGCAGUCGGAGGAGCAGGAACACUCAGUGUGGAUAAAGGUGGUGCCACAACGUUGACUAAAACGAAGGUUACUACAACCGUCAACUUAGUUGGCCACGCCGGUGGUUCCAGCGCUCAACCAGGUGGUCUGAAUGUUGGCACAAGCGUUACUCCACCUACGCUCGGCACCGGUGGCAUAGCUACUCUUCCUGGAUUUCCUGCUGGCCCUGGAGUACCGACAAAUUUAGGUGCACAUGGAAGCACAACUGCCGGCGGCUCUAUUAUAGGUGGCGGAAACGUCCCAUCAGUCUUACCGCAUUUCCCUUCACAGGGAGCACCUGUUAGUAUGGGCAAAGCCCCUGGUUCCUCUGUGCUUACUUCCGGAACUACAAACAGUGCUUCGACAAUUAGUACUGGAUUGAACGUGUUGCAUUCUGGUACUGAAAUGCCCCAACAUGGCGCCCCCACAGUUGGUGUUACAGGAAGCGGUGUAGAGGUCGAAGUGCCAGGAUAUACUACAGGACUUGGCCGAAAGUGGAAAUGGGUUCUCGGUCGCAGAACUGGAAUUUUCCCUCCGUACAUUCAAGCGGUCGAUCCCGAUAUCUUGUACUCUAAACUUGGCUACCCUAACCCGAAGCUGCCAGUCCUCCCAGAAUCUUUAAACAAAAUUCUUAACACUGUGCCUCUUCGUCCAGUGGGUAGCGAAAUGUAUGGGUAUUCAGGAUCUACAAGAAUGACUGAUGUUAUUCGAAGGCUCACAAUCAUCAAAGCGUUAAAAAAUCUUUUGUCGAGCAGUAAAAUUUCCCAGGGAUCUAACACAAGCAAGUUGCUCACCAAUGUACUCACCAGUGAAACCUCAUCUCUGCUACGAGAGUCUCCCUUAGAGCGUCUUCUACUCCAAAGUGACUCAUCAUCGUUAAAUCAGCCAGGGCAACGGAGUAGUUUGCUCUCACUUCUAGGAGGUGACCCCUACGGAUUCCCUUCGAGCAGUCCUUACGCGGGAAUGUUUGGUGCUCCUUACGGCAGCCUUUACGGUGGUCCGUAUGGUAUGCCUUAUGGAAGCUCAUGGCCUGUUUAUCCCAGUGGUUCAUUUCCAGGAAGUUCAUGGCCAUACAACUCUGGUAAUCCUCUAGUACCUUCUCCUCCAUACGGUUCAGGGUCAGGAAUAUACCCUGGAUCUUCUUUCGGUCCUUAUGACAUUUCUUCAAGCUCAUCAUACGCAGGUUUGCCUGGUUACGGUGGAAGUUUUUUAGAUAGAAGCAUGCUGAGUGCUCUCAUUGGAGUUAACAGCGGAAAAACGGGUGUGCGUUUCGCUCAGUCACCAGACGGGACGUUUUUGCCAGUGAGUGAUCCUUUGUCAAGUAUCAGCAAUACAUAUACUAAUGCUAGGCACUCCGACUUCUUAAUCUCGGACUUUUUGACACAUCCUCGCCAGUACACACUAACACCUGAUGGACAGUUGGUGCGCAAAAGCGAUGUGGCACUGCACGAAGGACGACUGUCUUCACUGUUAAGCGACACAAACAAUCCAUUGCACGCCCUUUUAAGGACUACUCCUGAAACAAAAACUGUGCUUGGCAGAUUACUGAAAUCUGGUGGGACACACCUGCCCCUGCUGUUGAAAUUGUUAAGUAAGAAACCCAGAUCGCCAUUAUCUAACAAUAUGCUAAAGCAGAUAUUAUUUCCCAGACGACCAGCCGGAAUAUUUGGUUCGUCAAUAGACAGCGUGGAUUCCAACGAAGGUGCGCCAGGUGGGGCCACAAGUAUGAUAUCGUUGCUUCGAAAUGCGAUAAGCAAUCCAAACGAUAUUGCCGCGCAAUAUUUAGCUCGACUAACCGGAAUAAGUCCCGAAUCAAUUGGGCUUUCCGCAAAUAGCAGAACACUCCUGCACGGGUACCGUCAACCAAGUGAAAGUAGUGCAUACAACGCACUUACCCAGCUAUUGCUGGGAUCGCAGGAUCCACUAAGCACUACGAAGUCGCAUCUUCCCUUCGUCAAUUCAGGGGCUAUUAGUCACUUCUUCCCAGAAAACCAACCGGCAUCAGAAGUAACUCCGAGCUUCAUAAAAGAAAUUACUGAAGCCUUGCACCAAGCAGGUGGACCACGAAAAACAACAGUGGGGACGAAAGAAACAGUGGUAACAAAAACAGUAGCUCAACCACGCAUAUAUGCUUCAGCCUUGUCACGUCAUCCAAGCUCAGAAACUCAUUUAACAUCAAGUGCUUUUAUGAACAGUGAACAGCCAAUGCUAGCGUCUUCUAUUACACCUGCUACAUCAGGGUUCCAAGUUACGGAGCAGAGAGCCCAAUCAUUGUCGUCACCUCCACUACUAGGACUAAAAAAUAUGCCAGGUAUGUCAAGUGGUAUACAAGUUCCUUUUUAUGGCACCACUUCUUUUAAUCCACUGUUCACCAGUGGCACUCGAGUAACUUCCACUCCAGGAGUAUUCGUUAAUGGCCAGUUUGUUUCUUCAUCCAAUGGCCUUUUGGGGAACACUCUCGGGCAAACAGGGUUAACGGUACCCCUCACUACUGGAUCCUACACAACGACCAUUCCGGUCUCUACUGGCUUUCUAUCAGCCGCAACCUCUUCGCAUCCAUAUCUAAUAGGAGGUUCUCCAAUAGGCGGGCACCCGCACUACGUCGUUGAAGGCCAUGAAGCACCUGGAACACGUUGGCAGCUAAAGGUGUGGCGUCAUCAUCCAGGCGUGUCAGCGAUUGUACCGGGCCUGUCUAUCGGUACUAAUAGCCCAACAGGCGUCCAGCACGGAGCUUUCGGCUUCACUUCGUACGCUCCUAGCACUCCAUCCAUCGGACUUGUGGGUUCUUCUGGCCUAAGUGGUUUACCUAUGAUGGGAGCAAGCAGUUCACAAUAUUUCCUCCAUGCUCCCGAUGGAAGCGUCCUCCUAGCUCGGCAGCCUGCAAGCGCAGGUGGUAGCACAAUAGCCAACUCGGGGGCAGUAAGCCAGGGCUCAAGCAUGUUUGUGUCCAGGACUCGUUCCAUCGGCGGAACCACCCCCGGUGCCGCUACUUCUCCAACUGGCAGCAUUUUGACAACUCCUGUGAGUAGCACGAGCACGACCAAGUACGAAUACACCUCAUAUGGCAGUGGCAACGGAAAUUCGGGUCUUUCUUCUGGCAUCAGCCGAGGUGUGACUUCAAGCCAAGUAGGGGCCUCGGAAAAUAGUGCGUCGACGUUUACGAGUGACAGUGGAGGCAGUGACAUGACCCAAAGUACGCUCUCGCAGACCAAGCUUUAGCGAUAAAUAUUUUAAACAGAGCCGUAAACAUGACAACUAUUUUCUUUAGGCGAAUAUGAAUAAUUACUGCAUAGGAAAUAUUUCAUCACUGUACUAUUUUACGCAAUUGUAACUGCAUGGUGAUCACGUUCACUGGAGAUUACUUCCGUGGCUGUAUUUAUAUGCAACAGCAUGGUGAUUUGCUCACGGCUUCGUGAACGAUGUUUUAUGUAAGGACCGCGAGCAAUAAAGUUUUCGUAGAAGAUA